rnacentral:rRNA from 1 species
AGCGAACGCUGGCGGCAGGCCUAACACAUGCAAGUCGAACGAACUCUUCGGAGUUAGUGGCGGACGGGUGAGUAACACGUUGGAACGUUCCUUUUGGUUCGGAAUAACUCAGGGAAACUUGUGCUAAUACCGAAUGUGCCCUUCGGGGGAAAGAUUUAUCGCCAUUAGAGCGGCCCGCGUCUGAUUAGCUAGUUGGUGAGGUAACGGCUCACCAAGGCGACGAUCAGUAGCUGGUCUGAGAGGAUGACCAGCCACACUGGGACUGAGACACGGCCCAGACUCCUACGGGAGGCAGCAGUGGGGAAUCUUGCGCAAUGGGCGAAAGCCUGACGCAGCCAUGCCGCGUGAAUGAUGAAGGUCUUAGGAUUGUAAAAUUCUUUCACCGGGGACGAUAAUGACGGUACCCGGAGAAGAAGCCCCGGCUAACUUCGUG